rnacentral:rRNA from 1 species
UACAGAGGGUGCGAGCGUUGUCCGGAAUCACUGGGCGUAAAGGGCGCGUAGGUGGUGGCUUAAGCGUGCGGUGAAAGCUCGGGGCUCAACUCCGAGUCGGCCGUGCGAACUGGGCUCACUGGAGCAUAGUAGAGGCAGGUGGAAUUCCGGGUGUAGCGGUGGAAUGCGUAGAGAUCCGGAAGAACACCGGUGGCGAAGGCGGCCUGCUGGGCUAUGGCUGACACUGAGGCGCGACAACGUGGGGAGCAAACAGG